rnacentral:rRNA from 1 species
UUAUUGUUUAACUAUGGCAAUAAGAAGCAUUAAACAAUCGAACUGCAUAAAUUAAUUUUAUGUAUUACUAAACUAUAUUUCGGUUUAGUUAUUAGCAGUUAAUUUUUUAUUAGAAUUUACGUUCUUUAAGAGAUUGUUUUAGAAGGGGAUAGGACACAGUGCCAGCAUCUGCGGUUA